GCCUGAGUAGGUAGUGAUGCUUGGGGGCCUGUAUUUUUCAUCACUUUUGUUCCCUUCAGAUUCUUAGAACUUCAGAGAAUUCUUGAACUCAGAGCGUGGAGGAUUAUGCUCAGAUUCGCAUAGAUCCACCCCAAACCCCAUGUGGAGAGAGGAUGAGCCCCUCUGGUGAUGGGUGGGGAAAACCCCAAACCAAGGUGACCCCAAAUGCCCCACAAGCCUGGAGAGUGUGAGUUCCACCCUCAGCACUGUCUCUCCUACUGCCUUUUGCCUCAGUUUAACCAUCUGUAGCUUGGGUACAAGAAGGGGCUGGGCAACUGUUGUUCUUCCCAUUUCUCUCAGAGCAAAGGGCUUGGAGGCUGAGCCUUGCUAGGUGAGGGACAAGGAGAGGGAGCAGGAGGCCCCAUGGACUC
rnacentral:lncRNA from 1 species